rnacentral:rRNA from 1 species
UACGGGGGGGGCAAGCGUUGUUCGGAAUUACUGGGCGUAAAGGGCUCGUAGGCGGCCAACUAAGUCAGACGUGAAAUCCCUCAGCUUAACUGGGGAACUGCGUCGGAUACUGGAUGGCUUGAAUUCGGGAGAGGGAUGCAGAAUUCCAGGUGUAGCGGUGAAAUGCGUAGAUAUCGGGAGGAAUACCAGUGGCGAAGGCGGCUUCUUGGCCUGUUCUUGACGCUGAGGCGCGAAAGCUGGGGGAGCAAACGGG